rnacentral:rRNA from 1 species
AGUGAACGCUGGCGGCGUGCCUAACACAUGCAAGUCGAACGAUGAUGGAGAGCUUGCUCUCCUGAUUAGUGGCGCACGGGUGAGUAUACCAUAGAUAAUGUACCCCUUAGUUCGGGAUAGCCACUGGAAACGGUGAUUAAUACCGGAUACUCCUCCUCAUUAUAAGAUGAGUCGGGAAAGUUUUUUCGCUAAGGGAUCAGUCUAUGUCCUAUCAGCUAGUUGGUGAGGUAAUGGCUCACCAAGGCAAUGACGGGUAUCUGGUUUGAGAGGAUGAUCAGACACACUGGAACUGAGACACGGUCCGACUCCUACGGGAGGCAGCAGUGAGGAAUAUUGCACAAUGGAGGAAACUCUGAUGCAGCAACGCCGCGUGGAGGAUGACGCAUUUCGGUGUGUAAACUCCUUUUAAGAGGGAAGAUUAUGACGGUACCUCUUGAAUAAGCACCGGCUAACUCCGUGCCAGCCGCCGCAGUAACAC